rnacentral:rRNA from 1 species
AUUGAACGCUGGCGGCAGGCCUAACACAUGCAAGUCGAGCGGAUGAAGGGAGCUUGCUCCUGGAUUCAGCGUCGGACGGGUGAGUAAUGCAUAGGAAUCUGCCGGGUAGUGGUGGAUAACGUCCGGAAACGGGCGCUAAUACCGCAUACGUCCUGAGGGAGCAGGUGGGGGAGCUUCGGACCUCACGCUAUCAGAGGAGCCUAGGUCGGAUUAGCUAGUUGGUGGGGUAAAGGCCUACCAAGGCGACGAUCCGUAACUGGUCUGAGAGGAUGAUCAGUCACACUGGAACUGAGACACGGUCCAGACUACUACGGGAGGCAGCAGUGGGGAAUAUUGGACAAUGGGCGAAAGCCUGAUACAGCCAUGCCGCGUGUGUGAAGAAGGUCUUCGGAUUGUAAAGCACUUUUAGUUGGGAGGAAGGGCAGUAAGUUAAUACCAUGCUGUUUUGACGUUACCAACAGAAUAAGCACCGGCUAACUUCGUG